UUGAAUUAGCUAAAUCAUGCACACCUGCCGGAGGGUGGCCCAGUUCUCAGGAGGUAGGGGCAGAGGCCCUAACACAGUAUCUCAUACCAGCGCUUUUUUGACUGACAAAUAUGCCUUUAGAUUUAGAAGUGCUGAUUUUAAUCGCAACCACAUCGUACUCUCUUAAGAACUUUUACAGUCAGCGUUUAAGAUUGUGCAUCUUCUUGAAGUCAAUAGAACCAUGUCUGCAAAAAAGGUCGCCAGUUAGGACACCUUAAAUGGCUAAUAAACCAUCCAGUCUGCAUUCCACUUUUCCAACUGGCACCAAUCAGCUGCCUAUGCAGUCCCACUGGCUAGAAAGGCCUGAUAGAAAUCUUUAUUCAGCUUGCUGGCAUCAUUAAAUACUGGUGUCCACCAGAUUCAGGGACUGCUGCUACAACAAGGGAUGACCACGGUAUGGUCACAGGUGCAUGGGCACCUGGCUCACUUGGAUCAAUAUCCCCAGACUCAGAAGAUGUGGUCAAAGAUCUGAUGAAGGUGGGACUGUAAACGCUUUCUGACAGACAUUCCCAGCAAAGCCUCUCAAUACUUUGUCAGCUCAGCCAGAGAUCUUCUGCCAGUAUUGGAACCAAGGCGCUUCAUACAAGUGUCCAAACAUGUAGCUGUUAGGUCUCACCGUCAAUGCUGACUCAAGCUUUAAAGUUCCUCAAGAGAACAUAGAAAUCCCCAGGUCUCCCCAGCACCCCCUCAAUGAACUCCAAAAAGACAGCAAGACAAUUGACUACUGAGUGCUGAUGGAAACUUGAAGUGUAAAGACAAUAGAAAUAUAGAAGCUAUAAAAGUUGGUGAGUGGAGAGGUGCCCAUGUGGAAAAGUUCCCUUCCUUAAAUCAGUCCAAAUCUCCUGAAGCUCUGCCAGUCUUCUGUGGCACCAUCUGUCUCAUCUUCUUCUAGUAGUCAAAUUAAUAAAUCUCCUUACUCUAUAUUCAGCAUAUACAUAAUUGGCAGAUUAAAUUCUUAGCGCACCAGGAAAAAUAAUGUGUAUUGUGUAUCAACUGUAUGUUUAAUUAACAAUAUGCUAUUAAAAAUAAUCCUUGGUAACAUAAAAGAAUGAAUGGCAUCUUGGAACAUACAAACAGCCAGCCAGACUGAGGGAUAAAAAGAGCUCUGCUGGCCUUCUUUUGGGGGCCAAGUUUCACAAACUCAUCUCUCUGGCAUGCUUGCCCAUGUAUACACACAUUCACUCAGAUUUCAGACCAGCUGUGCUCUUAAUGUGGCUGCCACGCUGCCACUAUGUGGAUGAAUACCGUUACUACAAAAGCAUAAACUGUAUCAUGUUCUUCUCAGUAUGUGCAAUGACACUCAUGACCCCAUAAGGACAUAUGGAAAAAACACCGCA